GACGAACGCUGGCGGCGUGCCUAAUACAUGCAGGUCGAACGCUUCUUUCCUCCCGAGUGCUUGCACUCAAUUGGAAAGCGGAGUGGCGGACGGGUGAGUAACACGUGGGUAACCUACCCAUCAGAGGGGGAUAACACUUGGAAACAGGUGCUAAUACCGCAUAACAGUUUAUGCCGCAUGGCAUAAGAGUGAAAGGCGCUUUCGGGUGUCGCUGAUGGAUGGACCCGCGGUGCAUUAGCUAGUUGGUGAGGUAACGGCUCACCAAGGCCACGAUGCAUAGCCGACCUGAGAGGGUGAUCGGCCACACUGGGACUGAGACACGGCCCAGACUCCUACGGGAGGCAGCAGUAGGGAAUCUUCGGCAAUGGACGAAAGUCUGACCGAGCAACGCCGCGUGAGUGAAGAAGGUUUUCGGAUCGUAAAACUCUGUUGUUAGAGAAGAACAAGGACGUUAGUAACUGAACGUCCCCUGACGGUAUCUAACCAGAAAGCCACGGCUAACUACGUG
rnacentral:rRNA from 1 species